UCAAACUUGGUCAUUUAGAGGAAGUAAAAGUCGUAACAAGGUUUCCGUAGGUGAACCUGCGGAAGGAUCAUUAAUGGGUUUUAGCUUGUGAAGGGCUGUAGCUGGCCAGUGGCAUGUGCACGCCUGGAUCAUACACAAUCCACCUCUCUCUCACACCUGUGCACAGCUGUAGCUUUAUAGGUGGGACUGCGAAACUCCUUUGUAAUCGCAGGCUGCCUGUUUGGCUACGUACUUUUUUACUACACACACCCUUUGUGAUUUAAAGUUCUUUUGAAAUGUCGAUUGUGCGAAAUAUAACAACUUUCAGCAACGGAUCUCUUGGCUCUCGCAUCGAUGAAGAACGCAGC
rnacentral:misc_RNA from 1 species